rnacentral:rRNA from 1 species
GACGAACGCUGGCGGCGUGCCUAAUACAUGCAAGUCGAACGAACAGAUGCGGAUCUUGCUCCUCGGACGUUAGCGGCGGACGGGUGAGUAACACGAGGAUAACCUCCUUAUCGGUCUGGUAUAAUUUCGGGAAAACGGAGCUAAUACCGGAGAAUAUAUUGAACCGCAUGGUUCAAUGGUCAGAUACGGUUUUUCUGUCACUUAUAGAUGGAUCCGCGCCGUAUUAGCUAGUUGGUAGGGUAACGGCUUACCAAGGCAACGAUGCGUAGCCGACCUGAGAGGCGGGUGGACGGCCCUGGAGGGGAUGCGCCACCCAGAGUACUACGAGAGGAAGCAGUAGGGGACCUUAUGCAACGGGGGGAAGCAUGACGGAGCAGCGCCGCGUCGGUGACGACGGUCGCCGGAGCGUAAUGCUCUGCUUUGGGGGGUGAACCAAUGUGGACGUAACUGUGGACGGCUUGACGGUAGCUGGUCAGAAAGCGCCGGCUAACUACGUG